AACUUUCAGCAACGGAUCUCUUGGCUCUCGCAUCGAUGAAGAACGCAGCGAAAUGCGAUAAGUAAUGUGAAUUGCAGAAUUCAGUGAAUCAUCGAAUCUUUGAACGCACCUUGCGCUCCUUGGUAUUCCAARGAGCAUGCCUGUUUGAGUAUCA
rnacentral:rRNA from 1 species